GAGCAACAAAGUACAUAGUAAAAUUCAAGCAAAUAUGUGGAUCCUCUCAGAGUUUCACCUCACCCUUGUCCCAUAGGAAACUGUGAAGAAUGAGGAACUUUUCAGAAUUUCUCCAUUAUGACAUAAGGGAGAACGGGAACAAUAUUAACUCAUGACUUCCUUGGUAGCAGAGUUCUGGGAAAAUAUGAAGUAUUCAUAAAUUCAAUCCUCAGAUCAAGAGGCCGUCACAGUGGAUGCUUCAGACAUAUUUCCUGUAUACCUUGCUCUACACGAUGCAAAGUUGGAGAAGAGGAAAAAUAAGAGAGUGCAAUGUUGAUAGUGAUGGUUAUAAAAGACCACAUUGCUUUUGAGAUCACACUACCCAUGAAGGAAGUAAAUGCAAAUUGUUGUGUCAUUUCCCCGAAGGGCUUUUGGAGCACCGCCCACGACAAACUGUAUAUGAAUCAAAGUAUUUGAUUACCUGCUUCCAUUUUUAAAUUUAGAAAGGCUACUUUCUCUUCACAAAUACACAUAUUUCUUUGGCUGAAACAAUGCUGGAAUAUUCCAAGGGGACAUACAAUUUUGAAGAGCUUUGUGUUUCAUCCCUACCAUUAAAAUACUUUUCAUUUUU